rnacentral:lncRNA from 1 species
AUGGAGCUUUUCUAUCGACCAGAUGUAUUGACCAUGAACCAAACGCAAAGAAGUGGAUCAGGGGUGAGAUGCAUAUGCAUUCUGGGGGGCUUGCUCCAGUGCCCGGCACCAGAGGGGCAGGACAUCUAUUUCUCAGUCGUCCUUGUUGGCAUCUGUUUCCACCUUCCAGGGGCUGAUCCAUCCUUGCACUCAAGGCAUGAGCAAUGAGACUCACAAGGACUAGGCCUUAAUGCUUAAGGCCAUUAAUUCAAGACAACCAACGCCAGCAGCACACGAGCAUUCAGAAGCGAGAUUCUGAGUUCUUUCCAACCCGCACGUCGACUUCAAG